GAGACAAACAACUGCGAAAGCAUUUGCCUAAAAUACUUCCAUUAAUCAAGAACGAAAGUUAAGGGAGUGAAGACGAUUAGAUGCCGUCGUAAUCUUAACCAUAAACAAUGCCGACUAGACUAGGCUUUAGAUGAAAAGUUUUAAAAUAAGAGUUUUCUCUUCGGAGUUAACCUCUUAGAUUUGCUUCCUUCAGUGCCUUAGGGGAAAUCAAAACCUUUGGGUUCUGGGGAAAGUAUUCGCGCAAGCGAGAAAGUUAAAAAGAAUUGACGGAAGGGCACCACCAGACGUGGAGCUUGCG
rnacentral:rRNA from 1 species